GAUGAAGAACGUAGAGAAAUGCGAUAAGUAAUGUGAAUUGCAGAAUUCAGUGAAUCAUCGAAUCUUUGAACGCACAUUGCGCCCGCCAGUAUUCUGGCGGGCAUGCCUGUCUGAGCGUCAUUUCAACCCUCAUGCCCCUAGGGCGUGGUGUUGGGGAUCGGCCAAAGCCCGCGAGGGACGGCCGGCCCCUAAAUCUAGUGGCGGACCCGUCGUGGCCUCCUCUGCGAAGUAGUGAUAUUCCGCAUCGGAGAGCGAUGAGCCCCUGCCGUUAAACCCCCAACUUUCCAAGGUUGACCUCAGAUCAGGUAGGAAUACCCGCUGAACUUAAGCAUAUCAAUAAGCGGAGGA
rnacentral:misc_RNA from 1 species